UGUAUGUUAUAGUGAACGUCAGAAAAUGAACCUUCUUUCUUUCGUUUGCAAUUAAGCGCAUUGUUCUGGCUUUGCAACUUUUUGAGCUGUGAGCGUUUCCGCAAACUCAUUUUUUUACAAAAUUAUUUGAGCAGGAAUUCUUUGCGGGGGGGGAGGUAAGGAGUGAAUGUUGAAUCGAGUGUUGAUUUUGUUCACAAAAUAUGCGGUCAUGUCUGUGCCAAUAGUAAAUUUACUCUUGAAUUUCAGGUGGAAAUUAAGAUUUGCAGGACAAGGCAGGGCAGCUCGAGGUUAGAGUGGCGCAGCAGGAUACAGUCAUGGCUCCCUUAGACAAGAGCAAGAGAAAACUUUGCGACGAGAGCACCCGGUCGACGGAAACACGCCACUGGCGGACCCGGUUGACGGAAACGAGCCACUGCCUGACCCCGGCGACGAGAGCGCACCACCACCUAUUCUACUCCGACGAGCCGCCUUCAGCCGAGGACUCCAACAUGUUCAAAUGCUCACACACUUACUGCAAUUACACAUCCUCCAGAAAAUAUAAUUUGAAAACGCGCACAUCAACGCAAUACACACACAUGAACACAACAUAUACAGAUGCCAAUGCGGAGAAGAAGACAUCCUGCCUUCGAAUAUGACUGUGCAUAAAAAAAUGUGCCAGAGAACGAUUAUGAAGAUCUUCUUGGGUGGAGCCACCCAACAGCCCCAGCAACCGUUUGGACGAAGAUUCGGAUCAAGACGUGGAUUUUGGACAUCGAUGAGCGCACCCUCCCCUACAGCGAACAUGGAUAUCCAUGAGCGAACCAUCUCCUACACGUAGAACUGGUUAUUUAGACGCAAUUAAUUUGUUGUAGUGCGGGUAUAAGUACAUUAUUAGGUCAGCAUUUAAAGCCGAUUCUUUUCAACGAAAUAUUUCGGAAAGGGAAUGCGUAGAUUUUGGCGAAUAGCCAAUUCUUCCAUUUGAGCUAAAAAAGCUCUAAGUUCCGGUUUGGAUGCUCUGGAACCCAACAACUGCUCCUGUAACUAACAAAUUUUCGACUAACAGCGUUGCUUUGCAAAUUUCGGCACUCGCCACUUUGUUGCAUGACGGCUCUUACUUUCUGUUUGCUAUAAUUUUUAACAUGGUAUAUUCAUUUUAUAGAAACCGAUUUUAAAACGAAGUUCAACGAAACUCGUUUUCAAACCCAAUCCUGAACUAAUGAAGCUUACAGAUUCAAAAAUAAGAACACUGCAGGACUUCGAAGUUGAGAGAACCAGCAAUGCAUCAUGCUCCACCUGCAUCACGCCCUUCCCGCUCGGCUCGUUCGCAUCGUUCAACAGCCUCGAGUACUCAAGUCCGCACGAUGUCGCCUUGCGGAAAAGAGGGCCAUGUUAAAGGCGAAUGAGCUAGAGUUUGAAGAAAAAAUUGGCCGCAAUUCUUGGACGCAAGCAGAGAGUAACUUAGAGUUCCAAACACCCAUCAACCCAGGCAGCAGCUUCGUCGCCUGCGCCUAGUUAAUAAAGCACUUUACUAGGAAAUAAUUAGCGCCUUGUAGCACGUUCAUAAGCAUACAACAUUCGCAUUAUUAUUAUUAACCACCUGAAUAACGAAUAGUAGACUGCAUAUGGCCGAGACGUGAUAUCGUUUCGAGACCAGCACAAAUCUUCGCUGUUGUCCCGCUGCCGUGCGUGAAUUGGGCAAUGGGCAGACUUCUCGACGCCCGCAGCUUGAGAGACUGGCUUUUUCAUUUAAGGAUUCCGAUUAAAUGCUUCUUACAGUAAAACGCUUCAAAUUUACGGGAGCAACCAUAAUGAUCUGACUUGCUAAUGUAAUGUUUGUUGCCAUCUUUUCUUCACGUCCGCGGUCAGAGAAAUUACCCUCGAGCCCAUUCGCUCGUCCGAUCAUACUAAUUUAGACUAUUCACACCCGUGUAUGGAGGUGUAAAGCUCUUAAUAUCGGCGGCUGAUUGGUGGUCUUACGGAAACUUGCUAGGCAUUCAGUGCCGAUUGGUGUACAAAAUUUGGGUGCACGGCUACGCUCCCAAAGCAGUAAUGUCUCGUCAACCCAAUGGAGAAAGAGACCAACUGCGUAACACGGGAUGGCUGUUGUUUACAGCACAAGGUCGCCUGAAAUAGAGGUUUCCAGUCUGAUGAACGAUGAAACAGGUUCA